rnacentral:rRNA from 1 species
UACAGAGGGUGCGAGCGUUGUCCGGAAUUAUUGGGCGUAAAGAGCGCGUAGGCGGUCCGAUAAGUCGGCUGUGAAAGUCAUGGGCUCAACCCAUGAAAGCCGGCCGAUACUGUCGGACUAGAGUCCGGAAGAGGCGAGUGGAAUUCCUGGUGUAGCGGUGGAAUGCGCAGAUAUCAGGAGGAACACCGAUGGCGAAGGCAGGUCUCUGGGCCACUACUGACGCUGAGAAGCGAAAGCAUGGGGAGCGAACAGG